rnacentral:antisense_RNA from 1 species
GGGGGAGAAUGGGCAUCCCACCCCAGCACUUUCUAGGAAGGAGGGCAGCAUUUUGAAGGGCUGGAAGUAGAGGAAGGAGGUUGCGGGUAGAAGACUCCAUACUUUCUGUGAUGCCUAUUCCUUAGCUUGAGAUGAAUGUUUUCUCAGUAUCCUAUGCUGAAAACAGAACAACAGAAGUUUCAACAUUCUGCCAACAAAGUAACUCCUGGAAGAUUGGCACAGAAGAAGGCACAAGGAGAGCCUUUAUAUAACCAAAGAUAUUUUUGGACCAUGAAUUCGGAAAUUCUCGGAGCCACCCAUCAGUGCCUGAGCUUCAGUGAGUCCAUAUCCCAUGUCACCCACGGCAAAGGAGAAUCUAAGACUUCUGAAGAGUUUCUUGCUUCUUUCCUGUGGGGCAGUGACUCCACUUCCCAGCAGUAAUGGAAUAUCCUGAAUUAGCUACAUUAAUGUUAGAACCAUUUGGACCUCACCCAGGACUUCAACUACAUUAUGCUAAAGUUACAGAACCCAAAUUUGGCAACUGUCUGCAUCUGAACAACAGAAGUUUCAACAUUCUGCCAACAGAGUAACUCCUGGACGAUUGGCACAGAAGGCACAAGGCAAAUACCUAUCUCUGUACACCCUGUGCUACUGUGUCAUGUGCUGCUCCAGGCAACUCCAAUGGAUUGGCCACCCUGGCCAAUGUGUUCUAGUAUGUUAGGUUUAUGUUCCCCUGCUUUCUACAAUCCUGUUCAAAGAGUUGCUGACUUAACCACAGAGAGGAUUCCAGAA